rnacentral:rRNA from 1 species
GACGAACGCUGGCGGCGUGCCUAAUACAUGCAAGUCGAGCGCAGGAAACUGACGGAACUCUUCAGAGGGAAGGUAGCGGAAUGAGCGGCGGACGGGUGAGUAACACGUAAGGAACCUGCCUCAAGGAUUGGGAUAACUCCGAGAAAUCGGAGCUAAUACCGGAUAGUUCAUCGGACCGCAUGGUCCGUUGAUGAAAGGCGCUCCGGCGUCACCUUGAGAUGGCCUUGCGGUGCAUUAGCUAGUUGGUGGGGUAACGGCCCACCAAGGCGACGAUGCAUAGCCGACCUGAGAGGGUGAUCGGCCACACUGGGACUGAGACACGGCCCAGACUCCUACGGGAGGCAGCAGUAGGGAAUCUUCCACAAUGGACGAAAGUCUGAUGGAGCAACGCCGCGUGAGUGAUGAAGGUUUUCGGAUCGUAAAACUCUGUUGUAAGGGAAGAACACGUACGAGAGGGAAUGCUCGUACCUUGACGGUACCUUACGAGAGAGCCACGGCUAACUACGUGCCAGCCGCCGCGGUAA